AAUAACUGGCUAGCAUCUCCCCAGGCAAUGGGGAGUAUUGUCAACAUCCUGAGCUGACAGCAGGUUACCCCAUUCACAGUUAACACACUAGCUGCAGACUAUUUGACACCCGGAAGGGUGACCCUUGGUUGAGUUGGAGGCCAGCUGGACACAGGACUCUGCAUGAGUGUGUGGGAUGGGGAGGCAGUGCAGGACCAGGAGUAAUAUAUGUCAAAUGUAUAAACAGUCCCUGUGUGCCCUGGUAGGUGGGCAUGGCACUGUUUGGCCUAUAAUGUCAGGGGUCUUAGAGACGAAAUGGCUGGCUGAUAGUAUCUUGUCUGGUGACGGAACCUGACCCUCACCCCUUCUCUGGUGGGACGGGAACAGAGUAGGCUUGCAAGGGGUCUAAGAGGGACCUUCACAGGGCAGAGGAGCUGAGGGUGUCUGUUUUAAUCCACCACACAGUAGGACUGCACCUACACCAGUGCUUCUCAACCUUCCUGAUGCUUCAACCCUUUAAUACAGUUUCUCACGUUGUGGUGACCCCAACCACAAAAUUUCGCUGUUACUUUGUAACUUUAAUUUUGCUACUGUUAUAAGCCAUAAUGUAAACAACUGGUAUCUGAUAUGUGACCCCUGUGAAAAGGUCAUUGGACAACCCCCACCCCCAACCCCAAACGAACCCGUCCGGAACCGAGUCCGUCCUACAGAACCCGAAACGCAGUGCAGUGCAGGAGCUGUGAGCCCUGGGCUGCUCUUACAGGGCAGGUUCUGACAGAGCUUUACUGGAAACUACCCAGCCUGUCAACAGGGGCCAGUUAAUCAAACUGACGCAGAACGGAGUCGGAAAACCUCUCUGAUAUCUGCUACCACGAGAAGAAAGCGACCUGCGGAAACGACCUUAUCACACAACUUUUGUAACCCAAAAGUACAUUUAUGACUCAGGAGCCUGCAGACAAACAUGUCCAUACAAUAGUCGAGGAAGACAGCAGCUGCCCGUCAUGGUCGCCACUCGGGAAGCCAAGGGGCACGCUCAAAAUGUUAGCUUCAUCCGCAUUUAAGAUUUUUAAAAGUGGAAACCCAGGAAUAGAUUAUUCAUAUAUUACAAAGUACAGUUUAUAAACACAAGGGUUAAGAUGACACCCAGCACAGUCUUGUGACUGUUUUUUUUUAAAUACCUGCUUAAGCCUCUGUGACAAAUGUCACAUUACUGUCCCCUAUCAUCUGUUGACAUGACUGAGGCACAGACAGUCAUGGGGGCACAGACUUGCCCCCAUCGCAUAGCCAAGAGGACAGCUGUCCCCAGAUGCCGAGAGAUGCAAGGUGGGGUGUGUGUGUGCUGUAAGGGUGAGGUAAGAUGAGAUGCAUACACAGCACUUUGCUUAGAAAAACCCGGGCUUCCUAGUUGAAGGGUACCCAGGACUGGUCCCAUCGGGUGCCCUGCUCCCCCUUGUACAACUGGAGGUUUGACUUUGGCCUUUGGGAUGUCUCCGCCCACUUCGCCUUCUGUGGGUUAGUGACACAAAGAGACCCUUUCUCUGUGCUGCAGUCAGACAAAACAAGGGCACUCAGCGCAGCUGUGACCCGAUCAUUGCCCCGUCAACGAUGCACGAGGAAGGGACAACAGGAAGUGUCUGAUGAGGCCCUGGACCCUCCGUGGCACGUUCCCCAUUCCCACCAGCCUGGGCUUUACAGACACCAAGACUAUGCAGAACUUCUCUCCUAGAACCCUCAGAUCUGAUCCUGAGAGCUUCUUCCGUCCUUCAGGGUAGGGACACCCAUCAUGGAGGCCAAGGCUUCUGGGGGUUCUGGUCAGGCCUUGAGAGGCUGCCCCUCCUACAUCUGUCUCUCCCACACUCAGCCUUGAGUUUGCAGCUUGACCCCUACCCCUUGCUGGAUGCCAGGUCUGAAUGCUAGCAGAAGAGGGUGAGUCAGCUCAAAGGUGUUGGCUCCGAGUGGCUCUCACAUGCUCUCCCCACCAGUGCUCUCUCCUUGGGUGCUUUCUUGAGAGGUAAACUCAUGGGCCAGGCUGUAGGGCUGGGCAGAAACUGUGCAGGGUGGGGCCAAAAGCCUGUCUCCCACUAGCAAAACCCGAGGCUUCAGGGAUCCACUCUGCUUUAACCUGGUCGGACCUUCUUUGGGAUGAGGUCGGGCGACUCGCUGUCAUGAAGCUAUCCUCUCUCGGAAGGGCUGAAACCAAGGCUGCAGCAGCCGCAUCGCCCAGUGGGAAGUGGCUAGCAGGUGGGUUGUUUGUUUGUUUGUUUGUUUGGAGAGUAAGGGUCAAAGAUAAGGUGAUGGAAGACGGGGGUUGAGCUCUCAAGACCGUUGACUACCAACACGUGGACUCUACCCUCGGCAGCCCCUCAGCGUGGCCUUGCAGUCCUUUCCCCUCGGAAUCUCGCCUGCCCUCCGUGACGGCAAUUCUUCCAAACCGCCUCCUCCUUCCCCAGAUCUCCCAGGCUGCCUCACUCUCUGCUUUGUUCCAGAAGGAUCUGAGAUAACCAGGGAGGAUCCUGCCGCUCCUGGACCACCAUCUGCAAACCUCACGUAGCACUACCAGGCGUCCUGUCCUUCAACCCUUUCCCAGGCCAAUGCCCAAGUCUGGGCUUUGGGUUCCAGGCCCUCAAAAGCCCAGUGGCAGCUUACUUAAUGUUCCUAGGGUCACCUGGUCUCCCACGUUAACCUCCUUGACUACUCCCCAUUCUUCAUUCAGCAUCUUCCCUGGUUCUAGCUCCAGCCAGGAGCUGCCUCUCUGAAGCUCUCCUGAGAGAGUUUACUCAGUGUCUCUUCAUCUCUUCAACUGGCCUAACAACCUGGCCUCAGCCCCAUGUAACGAGAGCUGGCUUUGUCACAUCAGGGUGACCCUGUUGAGUCCAGUUGUCACUUGGUCCUUGCGUUAACUGAGCUUGAUGUCUGGUCCCAUUGUUUCCUCAGUUCCACAAUGACACACUUUUGGGGUUCCUCCUCCCUUCCUGGCCACUCCUUCUCAGUCUCCUUUAAGGCACCUCUAAAAGACCUGGGUUCUUCAAGGCAGACUCUUCCCCCGCCCCCCUCGCUUGCCCAAACGGAUGAGGCCAUACUUUAGAUCUCCAUUUUUUUCCCCUCUCAGCACUAGACUGGAACAUCUACUUGGCUGCCCAGGGAACAGAACAGCUGUUCAGAAAUGUAUCGGAUGUGGUGGGGCAGAGCUGAGCUCUGCACUCCCUCUGCCCCCGCCCCUCCCCCACAGCCCCCCACUGCGGAGGAUGCCAUCCAGCCAUUCAGCCUCACAGCCAGAGGCCUCAGCAUCAGCAUCUUGGCACUCGCUCUCCCUCCACACCCAAUUAAUCACCUCUGUCUGCACAGCCUCCCACUCAGACUUCACUCUCCCCUCCGUCCUCGCCAUCUCCCUUUGAAGUUGGGCCACCUCUUUUUUUCUCUCUGGCUGGGACUAUAGCCCUCCUGCAGCCCAGCCUUCCCCCCCUCCACAAUACACGUUUCCCCCAGUGACUUGGCGAUGCCCUCGGUACAGUCCACCCACUGCUGGCUCCUCACCUCUACGGUCACCAUACCUCAUCCACCCUCCUGCUUCUCAUCCCAACCUGUUCUGCACCCUCGAAACAUGCCCAUCACUCCACUGGCAAGACCGAGACUCCCUCUGACAUGGCUUCCUCUGGAGCACAGGCGACUCAGCUCACGUGGCCCCUGCUCGCCUUGUAGCACCUAGAGGCCAGCUUGCGGCUUACUUCUUUUUUCCUGCCAUCUAACCUGGAGCCUGGCAUCAGGAAGUGCUCUUCAAAUAUUUCUGCAUGAAAUGAAAAGGCCAAACCAAAACAGUAACAAAGCAGGAAUGCGAAGCUUGCGGGCCCCUGAGGUUCCACUGCCAUCGGAUGCCAGGUGCCAGAGCUGUGGCUGCCCUGCACAUGGAGGACAACGGAUCCCUCCUGACCCUAGAGGAAGUACUCAGGCACCUGCUCCAUAGGGUCUCGGUUGGGUCACGGCUCAGUCACUGCAACAACUAUGACAGUAACAGAACCCCUGGCUGUGUGUCUCCUGUCACUCUGGACAGCCCAGAAGCUUCCAGGGACCAAGGGCCUCCUGUUCUUUUCUCUCUGCUCUCUUAGUUCCUCAACCCUUAAGAUGGGCAUCAGAAGGAAGGCCAGAGACACUCAGGAUUCCAAAGACUAUGAUACAGCUUUGGAGCCCGUGCCAGAAGUCCUGUCCCAGGCCUGCCCACAAGUUUGUGGCCAUGGACAGGGAUGCAACAGCCAGUCCCAGCCCCCUGUACUGCAGAACAGUAAGACCGCCUGCCAGCUCCGGGAGGCCUGGUGGGAAGUGCAGCUGCAGCACAGGCUUGGCACCGUGCUGGACUCGCCGAGCCACCCCAGCCCUGACCUCACGCUUCUCCUCCUCUGCCUGCUGCUCUCCGGUCUACCACAGACACCAUGCUCAGUGGGAGCAAUCAGACAGUUAGGAGAGAACCCAGUGGAGAGGGACCUUGAGGAAGCCAGGGUUGUUGGGGCCCAAAGAGAGGGGUUCUUGUGUGAGCAAGAACAGUUGGUUUCCUGUCGAGGCCUCAGCCCCAGGGGCCUGAGACAGUCUGCUCAGUGUCAGGACAGGGACUGAGACUCAGGCAAAAGACCAGGUACUAAACCCCAUUGGCCUUUCCCAGCUGACUUGCCCUAGCGCCUGGGGCUCCAGCAGGCAGGUGACAGUAGGCCAGCAUGUGGCUGUCAGGCAGUUCCUGCUUUCUACCCUGGCUCUGACGCUGGGGGGGGGGGGGGCUUCUCUCUGCCUCAGUUUCCUCAUCUGUGCAAUGGAGAUAUCAUGGCAGCACCUGCUUGGCAGGGUUGUUAACACUAUACAUGAAACACUUGGCAUGGCGCCCCACGCAUUAAAAAGAGCUGUUUUCUUCUCACUGUUGUGAAUGCUGUCCCAACAGGAAGAGACAACAAAGGAGCCCUCAGGGAGCAUUUGAUACACAUGAGGUAAGGAGGCGAGACUCAGAGGCAGGAUUGGGGAGACUAAAGGGGUGUGGAGAGCAGGGUAGACCCUCAGGUCUGCAGGGAGAGGUGGCAGAUUGGUGGAAGAACUUUGUGGCUAUCCCAGGAGAGCACAGGCCACACCCAUUUCCCACCUCUCCCCACCUGCUCAUCACAGCUUUCUCUUUGAAUGUCACCAUUCCAAGGCCAGAUGCUCCCUCCCUCCCCAUCCCUACCUCUCUGGCACAGUACAAUGGACUCUGCCCACCUCCCUGAGCUGUCCCUGCCAUCAGGAACUCGGGACAUGGAAUCCCACAGACUGUCACAGAAGAGGGGCCAAGACACCAUUUCCAAGGUCUCAGGGGGACCUACGUCUACCAGACGGUGCUGACGUGAUAGGAACCAUGCCAACCUGUUGUGUGGGCUGGCCGAGGUGGCCAUCCCUGGGGCCUCAUUAGAUGUACGCACAGCACCUCCCAAUUCCCAGGACUCAGUCACCCCUCCUGGGCUGCUGUCUGUCCCUCUGUCCUGGGCCCUAGGAAAGACUCUGUUCAGAUGUCUUCACUCCUGGAAUCCUGGGAAGUUUCCUCACUGCUAAGUCUCUGGCCCACUUGUGCUAACAAUGAGCCUGCUCUGGGCUCUGGAGGCUCACGGGGGUUUGUUCCUAUUGAAGAACAGGCUGGGCCAGUCAGUGUGCCGGCUCCUCUGCCAUGCUGUCCUGGUGCUUAGUCCCGAGGGCCCUGCUGCUCUCUGACAUGUCCUCCUGUCCGUCUGUCAGGCUAGCCCCUUGCAUCGAUGCUCCUGAUCCUGUCCACCCUGUGAAGUCUUCAUCGUCCAUCCCUGCGCAAGCUCCUUUACAUACACACCAUCCACCACCUUCUCCUACAUGCAGAGGCCUCCUGCCCAGUAGCCCCAGUGCAGGGCUGGCUCAUACUGGACGCUAAUGGGGAUCACAAAGAGAAGCGUUUUCUGAGUCUAGGAUGGUUCUGGCCUGGGAAUACCCAAAAUUAUUCCUUAGUUACUAGGGAGGAGGGUCCGAGUCACUUACAGCCUCAAGAUUUUUCUUGCAAAUUGCCUUCCAUGUUCCUUAAACAGUACAGGACUACUGUCAGCCAAGUGGCUGGAGGGCAGGAGGGACUGCCAGGCAGAGGGAUUAAAAGUGCAAGUCUUAACUUGAACCCAACUCUGCCACAGACUAGCUGUGUGAUCUUGGGCAAAUUACCCAACCUCUCUGAGUCUUAAGGUCUUCUGAGGUAAUCAUACCUACUAGAUUUAAGGAUCAAAUGCAAUACUGUACACGGAGCACACAAAACAAUGCCCAGCCCUUAAUUAGGUGCUCGUUAAGAGGUGGCUCUUAUGAUUAAUAAUUUCAUAAGUAUUAAUAACAAUGUUAAUAGGAGAGGCAACAUUAUCAUUAGAGAAGGUCAAAGUAUUCCAGCCCCUUCCCUCCUAGGGUCAAGGUACCAGUUCUCUUCAUCUCAGGGUCCUAGCCCCAACCCUCGCCAACCUGUGUAGGGACUCCCACCUCCCCCACCCUACCCCCAGCUGUCACAUCUGAACAAUCCAAGAGUCGCUCCUGGCCAUGUUAGGGGGUCUUUGAGGCCCUCCUCCCUCGGAUGUGGGAAUAUCAUGGCUUGGAUCUUUCAACAAAGCACAGUGGGCAUCUCUAGGAAGGAACCUGGGGUGGGGAAUACUUACUAGGAUGCCCAGUACCAGCCUGGGUUGGCCUGGACAUAGUCCUUAACGACGUCACUGUAGAAAAAGAUGGGCAGAGUCAGAGGCUACCCCAGGUCUGUUUCUGCUCAAUGUCUGUACCUUCCCCACAUGGACUCAGAGGAAGGAGGUGGGACUGGGCUCUAGAUGGGCAGGCUGGGACCUAGGGGAGCCUGGGUGGGUGACUGGAACAAAAUGAAGCAUCACAGACACCCGCAGGACCCACCUCACACUGUCUGGGGAACUUCUCACGUGCUGCACACCCAACCUUCCCCAGCACGAGGAUAUCCACAGCCCCUCAUCUCUCCAAAUGGAUAGCCCAGGGGAGGUUUGAUGGAGUCCCCCUGCUCCAGGCCUAACACAUGGCCCUCCCAGAAGGCAUCUGUUUGCACUGCUAACUCACCAGAAGGUAAAGAGAGCCACCACAGCCAAGGUCACCAGCAGCUGAACCAACAGGAUGGUAUAGACCUAAGGGAGGCAAUGACCCGUUUAGGGAGCCCUGAGCCCCAGCAAAUCUCUGAGAGACCCCAGCUCCCAGGGAUUCAUUUGAAUCCAGACCUCCCUACUGGAUGUUUCCGCCCUUCUUCACAGGGUCGCUGGGCAGAUUCAGACAAGUGGAGGGACAGGAAGGGUGCCAGACCCCAGAGGACAAAGAGCAGGGGCCUCGGGUGAGACCUCAGAAACACAUGCCAGGAGGAGCCAUGAGCUGGGAUGGCGGGAGAGAGGGAAAACCCUCUGCGGGCAGAGGCGGGACCAAGGUCAUUUUAGGGGUUCCCGCAUAGGGUCCCAAACCCCUCGUUGCCCUCUCUCCAGCCCAGAGCCUGGGAGAAGUGGUCACCUUU